GGGAGGCCGGGCCGUGAGGGAGGCCGAGCCGUGAGGGAGGCGCUGCCCCGGCCCGGCCCGACCCGGGUGAGCCGCCCCAGCCGGCUCCGGCCCUCGCCUUUUUCUUUCGCCAGAGCAUUACGUCAUGCUUUUUCCUCCACGUGGAGAAAUAACAUUGUUAAGAGUUCUGAAGGACUACUGCCAGUUCUACACAUAGGGAUAAGAGAAUCAGCCCAUGUUCACAAAGACUAUUGCUCACACAAGCAAGAGUUACAAUAUUUUUCUGAGCACACUGGUCAUUCAUGUAGAGGCACCUCUAACAAGAAUCUGUUAGAUCCCACGAGAAUCUUGAUUUUCAUUAAUUGCUGACCAUUUGUCAGCAGUCUUGAAGUUCAUCUCAGCAGUGUUUGCUUCAACUAUGACAGAGAAAUCUCAAAUAGAGAAUGGAGUGUGAAAUAACCCCUGUAUGCUUAAGGGAGAACUUCCUGCUCUGCUUUUUUUCCACUGAUCUUCUGACUGAGGCUUUCCCAUCUAAAGGUCUGAUAGCCAGAAGCAGAGGCCUUAAAGAUGUCAUAAACCAAUUUCCAUUAUUUUUGGGCUAUUUUGUCUGAAGUUCCAUCUCCUUUCAACUAUUUACAGUAGGUAGAAAGCCUUUCAUACUACCGCUUCUUUCAGACUUUGAGGAAAAGAGCAUUUUCCUUUAUGAAAAUAUGUUUCUACUAUAGCUGUCAGGUUAUAGUAGUAGUAGUACUUUAUAUCUAUGCAAGGAAAUAAAAUGAAAGAGGUUUUUUUCCUUUCUUUAACU
rnacentral:lncRNA from 1 species